GUCCUUGGUGCAAAAUGUUAACGCGCUUAGCUGCUAACCAAAAGUUGGAGGUUCAAGUCCACCCAGAGAUG
rnacentral:tRNA from 1 species